rnacentral:ncRNA from 1 species
GGGAGCGGAAUGAAUUGAGAGGUUCACGUUCCGUUCUGCGAGAAACUGGCGGGGAAGUUCCGCUGGUUUACUCACC